AUGUCAGGCAAUCCCGGGUACGCGGCGGUCCCGAAGCGGCAGCGGAGGCGGCGCCCGAGGGACGCGGAGGACGGCUCCGCGUUCCCCAGGGUUGUCACGAGCCGGCCAAGAGGCGGCGACCAGGUCCGCGAGGUGGCCGUGGUGCCGGCGGAGGCCAUGGAUAUCGAUGCGGGGACAAGCACUAACGCAGCCACAGGAGGCGUGGAUGGAUCGUACCUCAGCGACACACGGUUCGAUCAAUGCGCUGUUUCUCCAUUGUCAUUGCAAGGAAUCAAAGAUGCUGGGUAUGAAAGGCUGACCCGCGUCCAGGAGGCAACUCUGCCAGUAAUUCUUGAAGGCAAGGAUGUUCUUGCAAAAGCAAAGACUGGAACAGGAAAAACCGUUGCAUUUUUGCUUCCAGCCAUUGAACUUCUGUCUACAUUACCCCGUUCUACAUCGAUAAAUUUGCUGGUGAUGCUCCCUACUAGGGAGCUAGCAUACCAAGUGGCCGUUGAGGCUAGGAAGCUUCUUAAGUAUCACAGCUCACUGGGCGUGCAGGUUGUAAUUGGUGGCACAAAAUUAUCUCAAGAGCAACGAAGCAUGCGAUCCACUCCAUGUCAGAUUCUUGUUGCUACACCUGGAAGGCUCAUCGAUCAUCUUGAAAACACACCUGGUUUUUCUGCCCGGAUUAAAGGUGUGAAGGUUCUUGUUCUUGAUGAAGCUGACCGCCUAUUGGAUAUGGGAUUCAGAAGAGAUAUUGAGAAAAUAAUUGCUUUCAUUCCUAAGGAACGGCAAACACUGCUAUUUUCUGCUACUGUUCCAGCAGAGGUCCGUGAAGUAUCUCAUUUAGCAAUGCAGAAGGAUUACAAGUUCAUCAACACUGUUCAAGAGGGUGAUGAGGAGACACAUGCACAGGUAAAUCAGAUGUACAUGGUUGCACCAUUAGACCUCCACUUCUCUAUAUUAUAUGGUGUCUUAAAGAAGCAUAUUGCGGAAGAUGCAGAAUACAAAGUUAUUAUAUUCUGUACUACAGCAAUGGUCACCAAGCUUGUUGCUGAAAUUCUCUCCCAGCUGAAACUGAAUAUAAGAGAGAUUCAUUCCAGGAAGUCACAAUCUGCCAGAACAAAGGUCUCAGAUGAAUUUAGGAAGUCAAAGGGCUUGAUAUUAGUCAGUUCUGAUGUUUCUGCCCGUGGUGUUGAUUAUCGUGAUGUCUCGCUUGUCAUACAGGUGAAAGGUGCCAUCAGGAGAGUGGAGAUAAAGACGAAAGAAUCGGCCUAUCAAGCAUGGUUAGGGUACUACAACUCAAACAAGACCAUCAGCAGAGACAAGUCAAGACUUGUUAAGCUUGCAGAGGAUUUCAGUCAGAGCAUGGGGCUUGAAAUUGUGCCAGCCAUACCGAAACUCAUUCUUCGGAAGAUGGGCCUUCAAAAUGUUCCUGGGCUGAGGUCUUCGUGA
rnacentral:rRNA from 1 species